AUGACGUCAGACGGGGAAGGGAGAUGCGGCGCUUCCGCAGACGCCUUAUCAACUUUUAUCAACAAAGAAACGGACUAACAGCAGCGGACAGAGAGAGGAGCUUCUGAAACAGGUUGAUUCCUGCUGCGCGUUGGCUCUCCCUGGUUUAGAACUGGUCUGUCCUGAUUCUUGCUCUGAGUCACAUGACUCUAAAGAAGAGGAAGAGCCUCAGUCUGUUUCCUCCGUCUGCAGCUCAGGACUCGCUGGUAAGAACUCUUGUACAUUUCUUUGUAUAAACUCUGUAUCAUGGGCUGAUUUCUGUGGUUGAAUCCGUUUAAACUUGUUUGUCUGAACUUGACUGAAGCCAAACGUGUGUCAGUUUGUGCGUCUGUUCCACUGCAGCACACGGCCCUGUGCGUAACACUGCAACAGUCAAAGAAAACUCUU
rnacentral:lncRNA from 1 species